rfam:Bacterium AM6 strain AM6 2017-02-03-Sterotrophomonas_trimmed_contig_279, whole genome shotgun sequence.
GGCUAUGGCGGGCGGAGCGUGGAGGCCCUGUGCCUGCCGGCUUCAACAAGCGCCCGGUUUUCGAGCCACGUCUCCGCCCGCCACCUUU